rnacentral:lncRNA from 1 species
GCACGAGGAUGCAGCUGCGACCGCGGCCCCAAGAGGGAGCCGCCGCUGCUCUGUGGCCGCGGGGGCCGAGGGACGGAAAUCAGGCCUGGGGGUCGUGUCGUUGAGGGGACCCGGGGCGGCGGUCCCGCCAGAGGCUCGGGCCUAGUACCUCCGGAGGGUCCGGGCCCCUGGGCGAGGGCCUGCCCCCCCCUCCCCCCCGUUGCCUCCCCUGGUCUCUCCACGUCGAUGGUGGUGAAGUUGGCGGCGCCAAGGAGCGCAAGGCACCGGGCUGCCUCUCUUGCACCCAGCUUCUCUUUGGCCCCGGCUCUGGGACACCUGCGCUGCUGCCUCCUCUCGCCCGCCGAGCCCACUCUGCGUGGCGGGCGGGGGAGGGGCUCCCCCCUGCAGAGACUGCGUCGAGCAAGGCGAUGACCAGGACCUUAGAAGAG